UGCAAGUCGACGAGACAAGGUGCUUGCACCUUUAGAAAGUGGCGAACGGGUGAGUAACGCGUGGGUAACCUGCCCUAUGGAAAGGAAUAGCCUCGGGAAACUGGGAGUAAUGCCUUAUAGUAUAUAGAGGUCGCAUGAUUUUUAUAUGAAACGCUCCGGCGCCAUAGGAUGGACCCGCGUCCCAUUAGCUGGUUGGUGAGAUAACAGCCCACCAAGGCGACGAUGGGUAACCGGUCUGAGAGGGCGAACGGUCACACUGGAACUGAGACACGGUCCAGACUCCUACGGGAGGCAGCAGUGGGGAAUAUUGCGCAAUGGGGGAAACCCUGACGCAGCAAUACCGCGUGAGUGAAGAAGGUUUUCGGAUCGUAAAGCUCUGUUAUUGGGGAAGAAAAAAAGACGGUACCCAAGAAGAAAGUCCCGGCUAACUACGUGCCAGCAGCCGCGGUAAUACGUAGGGGACAAGCGUUGUCCGGAUUUACUGGGCGUAAAGGGCACGCAGGCGGUUUUUUAAGUCAGAUGUGAAAGGUACCGGCUCAACCGGUGACAUGCAUUUGAAACUGAAAGACUUGAGUAUUGGGAGAGGCAAGUGGAAUUUCCUGGUGUAGCGGUGAAAAUGC
rnacentral:rRNA from 1 species